ensembl:snRNA U6 U6 spliceosomal RNA
AUGCUGGCUUUGGCAGCACACACACUAAAAUCGGAGCAAUACAGAGAAGAUGAGCAUGGCCCCUGCUCAAAGAUGACGUGCAAAUCCAUGAAGUGUUCCAUACUUUU